rnacentral:rRNA from 1 species
GACGGAGGAUGCAAGUGUUAUCCGGAAUCACUGGGCGUAAAGCGUCUGUAGGUGGUCAAAUAAGUCAACUGUUAAAUCUUGAGGCUCAACCUCAAAAUCGCAGUCGAAACUAUUCGACUAGAGUAUAGUAGGGGUAAAGGGAAUUUCCAGUGGAGCGGUGAAAUGCGUAGAGAUUGGAAAGAACACCGAUGGCGAAAGCGCGUAACUGGGCCUGAACUGACACUGAGGGACGAAAGCUAGGGGAGCGAAAGGG